AUGUUGUCGAUGAAGCUAUCCGGUGAGAGCCUUACUGCUUUUCCCGGGAAGACGGGAGGGCGCCUAGGUGUGGAUUUGGCAGAGAUGGAAUGUUUCAAGGCGAGGGCGAUGCAGAUAAUUCGCAAGUCGAGGGAUCCGUCAAGAUAUCUCGAGUUGAUGCGAAUUAAGGCGGAUUCAUUACUGGAUUCUGGUGGGUCUUCGGAACGAGGGUUGUGCUCGUCGCCGGAAAUUCCUCCCCUGCAGGUUGGCACGACGACAGUUGUACUGAAUGGAGCUCAGCUAGCUGCUCCUGAGAUUGAUAUUACUGGGCGAUGUCAUGGAAAUAAGCCUCUGGCUGGGUCUGAUUCUAAAGCAGCAGAGGGGCAAGUGGAUUUGGGGAUGAAUGAUGCUGCAGUUGGCGUUGGUUCAGAGGGACAGUGCCUGGGAAUUCAACAAUUUAUGUUUUGCAAUACAAAAGAACUGGAUUGGAUAUGUGCGUGCAUGUUUUUGGAUACAAACAUAUCCAGUUAUCGCUUUGUUCAUGGAGUCCCGGUGGAAGAGGAGCCAGAUCCAGGAGGAUUUUGGUUGUCUGUUAAACAUACAGUUAAAGUGCAGUUUCAAAGUUUGUUAACAAGUACAUGGAAGAAGAUCCAGCGGAAUACAAAAUGGGGUUUCUGGAAAAGCUCAAAUAAUAUUAAUACAUGCUUCUUUGUUCGUUGUGGGCAGGAUACUGAUAAUAGAAUUAUGGCAAGAAUUCUGAUCAAAGUAACUAGAGUGAACAAUGUGACAGAGUUUUCUUUGUCUCAAGGAUGCAGUGGUGUGGGGAUACAGAGUAUUGUUGUGAUUGAUGGUACAGCAGGAUCGGCGGCAUCCCUUGAGGAUGACCGCCGGAACCAAUGA
rnacentral:rRNA from 1 species